rnacentral:rRNA from 1 species
CCCUUAGAUGUUCGGGGCCGCACGCGCGCUACACUGAAGGAAUCAGCACGUCUUUCCCCUUGUCCGAAAGGACUGGGUAACCCGCUGAACCUCCUUCGUGCUAGGGAUUGGGGCUUGUAAAUCUUCCCCAUGAACGAGGAAUUCCCAGUAAGCGCGAGUCAUAAGCUCGCGUUGAUUACGUCCCUGCCCUUUGUACACACCGCCCGUCGCUACUACCGAUUGGAUGGUUUAGUGAGAUCCUCGGAUUGGUCCCGGAGCGGCCUCUGGUCGUGCCGGAGUGCCGAAAAGAAUGUCGAACUUGAUCAUCUAGAGGAAGUAAAAGUCGUAACA